CUUUAGCCCCUGCCUCCCGCCUCCCGGUUCCUACUCGGCCAGAACCUCCCGCUACGCGCGCCGGUGCGGGCCCCCGUCCGUGUUUCAGAAUGCAGAAGUGGCUCUUGGGAGUGGUGGCCUGUGUGCUGCUGGGCAUGGUGCCUUCCGAGGGACAUUCCAGGAAGAAGAGGUCUGUGGAUCCCGAGGCGUACAUGAAUAUUAGCGAGAUCAUCUCCCAUUGGGGCUUCCCCAGUGAGGAGUACGACGUGGUGACCGACGAUGGCUACAUCCUCAGUGUCAACCGAAU